GACUCUGUGGCGCAAUGGUAACGCGUCUGACUCCAGAUCAGAAGGUUGCGUGUUCGAAUCACGUCAGGGUCA
rnacentral:tRNA from 1 species